rnacentral:lncRNA from 1 species
UGCUCAAGGAGAAAAAACAGUACAUGGGAAAAAAAAAAGAAAAUAAAUAACAGAGGAGAUACAACCUCAGUCAUGUGUUACAUGAUCUGAUAUAUUACCAUAUGAACCUAAACUCCCUCCAAUUCAUCCAUUCUAAUUUCAGUUUUGCCGCCCUUGAACUUAGCCACAGAAACGACAGUGCUUUUACCUCCCCCAUCAUCUUCGAUAACUGACAAGCUUUGUUGUUGAAGAUUUUGUCAUUGCGUGCUUUCCACAACGACCAGCAACCCGUAGCCGAGAUCAUGUAAACCGCCUAUUGCUUAUUCCCCUCCAUCUGCAGAUUGUUGAUGUAGUCUAACAGCUCAACCACACUUAAUAAAUAUUAACUAUACAGGUAAUUGUUGUGUUUAUAUCAAAUGAAUAUUAACUAUACAGGUAAGUUCAACGACUCUUUACAACAUAUAUUUCUUUGCAAAAGAUAUUAUUUGCAUGUUCCUAGCGUGAUAAGUAACGGUUAUAUCAAAUUUGCCUUGAGUUUUAUUCACUAGCGGACCUAGAAAUUCUUUUCUGAAAAUGCGAAAAAAAUUAAAAAAUUUUAGAUCCCUAGCUAUAUAAAAAAAAUCAGUUCAUAACGAGUCGGAUCGGAUCAGGUCGGGUCAUGUAAAACAUGUAAACAUAAACAAACAAAGUUUCGUAGGUCGGAUCAAAUCGGGUCGAGUUGGGUCAAUUUCAAUUUUGAAACAAUCAAUGUUGUUUGGUAUAGAGAAAACAAUGUGGUUUGGAAUUGUUUGUAUUGAAAUUGUAUUGUACAAAAAAUAGGGUUAUACAAAGAUGGUGUUUAUAUAGCCCAACAUAUUACACACUAGUCCAUAUACUAUUUGUUUCCUUAUUUCCGACAAUCAAACCAUAUUUCUUAACUUCCUAUUACAUUAACAAACAAAGUUCCAAGUAAAAUAGUAAACAAUAUAAGUAAAAAAACCCUCACAAGUAACUAAAGUAACAACAAAAAAACAUCAGAAUUCAAACCCUACCUACUUCUAUUUACCUUAACCAUUAAAUAAAACAACAAAAAAACUUAUCUAAGACAUAGCUUAAUCUUUAAUUAGAAAAAUCCGACAAAAAAAGUAGUACAACGCAUUUCCUCUUGAGAAAUCGCGCCAUAACUUCUCUAUUCAUGGUUCUUAUCACAUAUAAAUCGCUCCAUAAGUUCAUAAAACAACACUAAACACUUAAACAAAAUAAAUAAUAAUGUUCAACCAAUACCAUAGACUAUAAUUUUCAAUUUUAAUUUUCAAAUAUUCAAGCCCUAGUUUUAAAUGUUGAUUAGUAAUCAUAUAAACAAACAAAACUUACACUACAAGAAUUUUGAGCUUUAGUGGCGACAGUAUUAGUGGCGACUGCUAAUAUGUCGUCGCUAAAGGUGGAUCCGUGUCAUGGGACCAUUAACCGCUUAUUGGCCGUUGGAUGAAGACCUGAUCCAACGAUCUGGGAAAUAUCUCAUUUGAGUUGCCACUAAAGGGUUUUAAGCGGGAUAAAGUCCUUAUCCAUUCCCUUUCCCUCCAUUCUACCCUACACAUCUCCACUCACCAUCUCCAGAGCCCUAAUAUGGUUCCAAGUUAGGGUUUCUGGUGUUUGUGAGCCCCGUUCUAAGCUGUGCUCCGUCCACCCCACUCAAAACACUAAAGAUUCCGGCCGCCUCCACUCAAUUUCUACCACCUCCGGCGACAUACACGGUUAGGGUUCUUUAUAUUGUUGUUUAUUUUAGUUAUAUAGUUAUAUUUCUUGAUUUUUUAUAGUGUUUGUAGGUCACCUCCACUAAAAUGCAACCACUUCCGGUCAUCUCUGCUGAAAUCCGGUCACCUCUACUGAAAUCCGGCCAUCUCCACUGAAAUCCGAUCACCUCUACUGAAAUCCAGCCAUCUCCACUGAAAUCUGGUCACCUCUGGGGUCACACUGACCAGGUAUUCAUGUUGCUGCACUAUUCCAGAGUUGGUUCGAAAACCCGGAUUUUAGAAAUGAACUUCAAAACUUUUUGAGUUCAAGUUACCCGACAAAGUUUGGAAGCGAAGAUGUUGAUGGUGAAGAAGCGGAUGAUGGCAGCGAUGAUGACAUGGAUAUGAUUUAAAAUUAUGGCAUUUUAGAUGUUAAGUAGGUUUAUGACGUAUUAGUGACUUAAAACGAAUUCGGAUUGUGACGUUUAUGUAGUUUACGCUUAUGUAGUUUAUGCUUAUGUAGUUUAUGUUUGGUUGGUUUUUUGUGGCUCAUGAACUAGAAAUGUACAGGUUUUAAUAUGAAAAAAAACUGGAA